GCCCUCGUGGCCCAAUGGAUAAGGCAUCGGCCUCCUAAGCCGGGGAUAUCGGGUUCGAGUCCCACCGAGGGUA